UAGGGAAUCUUCCACAAUGGACGCAAGUCUGAUGGAGCAACGCCGCGUGAGUGAAGAAGGUUUUCGGACCGUAAAGCUCUGUUGUUGGUGAAGAAGGAUAGAGGUAGUAACUGGCCUUUAUUUGACGGUAAUCAACCAGAAAGUCACGGCUAACUACGUGCCAGCAGCCGCGGUAAUACGUAGGUGGCAAGCGUUGUCCGGAUUUAUUGGGCGUAAAGCGAGCGCAGGCGGAAGAAUAAGUCUGAUGUGAAAGCCCUCGGCUUAACCGAGGAAUUGCAUCGGAAACUGUUUUCUUGAGUGCAGAAGAGGAGAGUAGAACUCCAUGUGUAGCGGUGGAAUGCGUAGAUAUAUGGAAGAAUACCAGUGGCGAAGGCGGCUCUCUGGUCUGCAACUGACGCUGAGGCUCGAAAGCAUGGGUAGCGAACAGGAUUAGAUACCCUGGUAGUCCAUGCCGUUAAACGAUGAGUGCUAAGUGUUGGGAGGCUUCCGCCUCUCAGUGCUGCAGCUAACGCAUUAAGCACUCCGCCUGGGGGAGUACGACCGCAAGGUUGAAAC
rnacentral:rRNA from 1 species